CCGCAGCUCUCGCCAGAGCCUUUGGAUCAAGGGAGAAAGAGAACCGGCGGCUGGCCUCGGACUCUAAGCGGUGCGCAGCUCCAGCCCGGGCGGAUCGGCCCUGAACCCACAAACGGCUCCUCGCUCCUUCAAGCCUCCACCACCUCGCAGCCGGGGAGGCAACUGGAGCGAAACCAGCGACAGGUUUAAAUGUUUACUUGCUACUUGGC
rnacentral:lncRNA from 1 species